AUAAUUAACUAAGAGUAUGAACAACUUGAGGAUUGAUUGAGAUCAUGAAGUUGCUGCUGAUUGGACACAGAAAUAAAUGUCGCCUCGUUUCCACGCCGCAUGCGUGGUGUAGACCGCUAGCGCGUCAUUGUAGUGCGACAACUAGAAAAGUAACAACAAUGAAGAUCAUCUAGUGGCUCGUCUUUUUAUUCUUUUACUUUUUGUAUAUCGUUUAUAACAAGAAUUUAAUCCUUUUUUAAAGAAGAUUAAGGGCAGCUAAGAAGAAUCCCGCCAUAAAGAGGAAAUAGGAAGCUAGCUUAGCGCUAUACUGGUGCUUUCUAACGUUCUGCCAAUCAACGGGAGGCUAAAGUGACUCCGCCCCAACUGUCCUGCUCCAUUUUACUAUGGACCUACAAUGGAUGGAGGCCUUCAGGAGAUACGUGUCGGUAUUGUUUAAUGGAAACGCUGAAAAUACUCGACCGCUCAGUGGAAACGAAGCUUUUGACAUAGAUAUGUGAAACUUGUGGCCUCAGGAGUGGGAAGGAAAACUACCUUUCUGGUUAGGAUGCAGGUUCAGACAGAGAGGAGCGCUCUGGUUCCCAUGCAUGUCCAGAAAGUCGCCUAAAUCUUCUGACGUAGAAGAAAAAAUGAGAGUGUGAAACUAGUUCUGCUUAAUUAAAGUUAGGAGAAAAAAAAACGUUACAAAUAAACCUUUGUCCUGUAUUUCUGCCCAUUUAACAGCAACCUUUAUUGUUCCUAAAAUGGUUAACAAAUGUGAUGUCAGUAACACAAGAAAAUAAAUUGAAAGACAAUUUAUUUACAAUACUGAGUCUCUAAUGAGAAGUUGGUGUCUAUUCAGAAUAAAAGUAAUAUUUUAACUGCUGAAAAUGUUCAAACUUUUUUUGAUUAGCGGAUAAACUCAAAGUUUUAGAAUUUUUUUUUAAAUAUGCAUCUUGACUAUCAUAAAUAUUUGUGAGUCAAAUUCCAAAUUUUCGUUAGUUUUAGGUUAAAAUCAAAGUAGUUUGGAACUAAAAAACAUGUUUUAAAUCAAACUUUUUACUUUUAGAUUUUACAAUAGAGGAAUAUUUAACUUAUUGAGCAGUGACACCACAACGUUCCUUCAUAUUGUUACCUGUUAGAUCUACUUAUUUAAUUUAUAAUAUUCACUUUUACUGUUUAAUUUAGGGAGAAUACACACUUUAGUAGUUUUGUGUGUAUUUGUACUUUUUUGAUGGACUCAACAGUACACUUGCUCUUUUUCUUUAUGGUGUUAGAUGACGUAACCCAACAGACUGUAGUUUUACUUUUUUUUUUUUUUUCAAACAUAAGCUCAGAUUCCGUUUUCCUUAAAAUGAUCCUAAAGUUAUGUUUCUGCAAAUCCUAGAAGGUUGAGCGAUAAAAGUUUUCCUGUCCUUAGGUGACCCUAAUGCAGCUUUGAUCGAGAGCUUAAACAUUUAUUGCCCAUAAUUUUGGUUUCUGUCCUUGACAAAAGUAUUUUUUUUUUUAAUUAGACUAUUGAUUUCUUUUUAGUGAUCAUUACAAGAUGCAUUAAUUAUUUAAUCCUUGAACAUUUUUAACUUUUUUUUCCAUUGGCAUUAUAAAAUAUACAAACGUUGUCCGUCUCUCAACAUUUAUUUGAACAUUUAAUUAUAUUUAAGGUCCAUUAAAUUAUACGCAACAAAAAUCCAGUCAACGACUGGUUUCUAAAUGAACUUCCUAAAUACUUGUUCUAAUUUUGAAUAAAAUAUUGAAUAUUAUUUCCCAAAUAACGUCAAUAUUUGAUGAUUUGGGGUCUUAUUUGGUUUGUCAAAAGUUUCUGAUUUUGUGGCGGUUCAAUUAUUGCGAAGGAUGGAGGUUUUGUUGUUUUUCUUCUGUGGUCCAUAGUUUCGAUCUCUGCAUUAACUUCCUUCACACUUAAACCGCAUCACUUUCGCAGAGUCUGACCAAAAUCACAGACGGGAAUCAUUCUUCUUCUUUUUUCUUCAGGAGCCAUAAAUCAUUUUUUUUAAUCAUAUUUAGUCAGAUAGCCCUAACUGUAAUGUUUGAGUCGUUAGUUUACAGUAAAUAAAUCGGUGAAGUGGAUGUACAUUAUACUGUUGUGGUAAACGCUUUAUGUCGCAUCAGAUGUUUGUGCACGUGGGUGGCUGUAGUUGUCGUAUUACUGUUAUCUGGACAUUUUUGGUGUGAAACGUGACUCCCCCACCUACAGCAGAACUUUCACAAAAGACAUUUUCACAGUUUUGGCAUAUCGGUGCAUAAAAAGACGUCCUCCUCGAGCUGCUGAUGUUGUUCCCCUUUUGGAAUUCACACAAACCGAGCAUGGGCGGCUGUGAGCCGAGCAUCAACGUCUGCAUUUUUACCCUGGGAUUCUGCCGUAUUUUCCAACAUGUGUCGUUAGAAUUUCCUUGAAAUUAACAGAAAUAUAGAAAACAUUAGAUGUUUCUUUGUUCACGGGUUAAUUUAAUUUGUUUUUCCUAUUUCUAAAGGGUAAAAAGCUGAUCUGCAGCAAUGUGAUUCUGUAUUUUUCACACAGAAAAAACAUUUUUAUUGUCAUUUGUAGUAAAAUUAGAGAACUUAAGACUAAAACUAGACAUACGUGUGCAAACAAUUGUAAUUGCUGUGCAAAGAUGGAAUAUAUUAAUAAAAAGAUAAAAAAUUC